GACGAACGCUGGCGGCGUGCCUAAUACAUGCAAGUCGAGCGAAUCAUUAGGAGCUUGCUCCUGAUGGUUAGCGGCGGACGGGUGAGUAACACGUGGGCAACCUGCCUGUAAGACUGGGAUAACACCGGGAAACCGGUGCUAAUACCGGAUAAUUCUUUUCCUUACAUGAGGGAAAGCUGGAAGUCGGUUUCGGCUGACACUUACAGAUGGGCCCGCGGCGCAUUAGCUAGUUGGUGAGGUAACGGCUCACCAAGGCGACGAUGCGUAGCCGACCUGAGAGGGUGAUCGGCCACACUGGGACUGAGACACGGCCCAGACUCCUACGGGAGGCAGCAGUAGGGAAUCUUCCGCAAUGGACGAAAGUCUGACGGAGCAACGCCGCGUGAGUGAUGAAGGCCUUCGGGUCGUAAAACUCUGUUGUUAGGGAAGAACAAGUAUCGGAGUAACUGCCGGUACCUUGACGGUACCUAACCAGAAAGCCACGGCUAACUACGUGCCAGCCGCCGCAGUAA
rnacentral:rRNA from 1 species